UACGAAGGGGGCUAGCGUUGCUCGGAAUCACUGGGCGUAAAGCGCACGUAGGCGGAUUGUUAAGUCAGGAGUGAAAUCCUGGAGCUCAACUCCAGAACUGCCUUUGAUACUGACGAUCUCGAGUCCGGGAGAGGUGAGUGGAACUGCGAGUGUAGAGGUGAAAUUCGUAGAUAUUCGCAAGAACACCAGUGGCGAAGGCGGCUCACUGGCCCGGUACUGACGCUGAGGUGCGAAAGCGUGGGGAGCAAACAGGG
rnacentral:rRNA from 1 species